GAUGAACGCUGGCGGCGUGCCUAAUACAUGCAAGUCGAGCGAACACACCAUUAGCUUGCUUCUCUUAUUUUACCUGCGGACGGGUAAGUAACACUUACGUAACCUACCUCUAACCCUGGGAUAACUUCGGGAAACCGGAGCUCAUACCGGAUAAUAUUUUGAACCACAUGGGUCAUCAGUGAUAGACGGUUUUUCUAUCACUUAUAGAUGGAUCUGCGCCGGAUUAGCUAGUUGGUAAGGUAACGGCUUACCAAGGCAACGAUGCGUAGACGACCUGAGAGGGGGAUCGGACACACUGGAACUGAGACACGGUACAGACUCCUACGGGAGGCAGCAGUAGGGAAUCUUACGCAAUGGGCGAAAGCCUGACGGAGCAAAGCCGCGUGAGGGAUGAAGGUCUUCGGAUAGUAAAACUCUGUUAUUAGGGAAGAACAAAAGUGUAAGUAACUGUGCACUUCUUGACGGUACCUAAUCAGAAAGCCACGGCUAACUACGUG
rnacentral:rRNA from 1 species